rnacentral:miRNA from 1 species
CCUGGUUGUAGCCGAGCCAAAUUG